UCUGGUAUCCUAGGCGUAGAGGAACCACACUGAUCCAUCCCGAACUUGGUGGUUAAACUCUACUACGGUGAUGAUACUAUAGGAGUGGUCCUAAUGAAAAAAAAGCUCGAUGCCAGGG
rnacentral:rRNA from 1 species